GUGGAUAUAGUUCAAUUGGUAGAACAACUGUAUGUGGCACAGUAAGUUCCCUGUUCAAUUCAGGGUAUCCUCCCUA
rnacentral:tRNA from 1 species